rnacentral:rRNA from 1 species
ACGGAAGGCAGCAGUGGGGAAUAUUGCACAAUGGGCGCAAGCCUGAUGCAGCGAUGCCGCGUGAGGGAAGAAGGUUUUCGGAUUGUAAACCUCUGUCAACAGGGACGAAAAUGACGGUACCUGUGAAGGAAGCUCCGGCUAACUACGUGCCAGCAGCCGCGGUAAUACGUAGGGAGCAAGCGUUAUCCGGAAUUACUGGGUGUAAAGGGAGUGUAGGCGGGACUGUAAGUCAGAUGUGAAAUAUGCCGGCUCAACCGGCAGACUGCAUCUGAAACUGCGGUUCUUGAGUGAAGUAGAGGUAAGCGGAAUUCCUAGUGUAGCGGUGAAAUGCGUAGAUAUUAGGAAGAACACCAGUGGCGAAGGCGGUUAGCUGGACAAUAACUGACGCUGAGGCGCGAAAGCGUGGGUAGCAAACAGGAUUAGAUACCCUGGUA